rnacentral:rRNA from 1 species
GGGCCCGCACAAGCAGUGGAGCAUGUGGUUUAAUUCGAUGCAACGCGAAGAACCUUACCUAGGCUUGACAUAUAGUGGACCGCAUCAGAGAUGAUGUUUCUCGCAAGAGUCGCUAUACAGGUGCUGCAUGGCUGUCGUCAGCUCGUGCUGUGAGGUGUUGGGUUAAGUCCCGCAACGAGCGCAACCCUUAUUGUUAGUUGCCAACACGUAAAGGUGGGAACUCUAACAAGACUGCCUGGGUUAACCAGGAGGAAGGUGAGGAUGACGUCAAGUCCGCAUGGCCCUUAUGCCUAGGGCUACACACGUGCUACAAUGGUCGGUACAGAAGGCAGCGAAGCCGCGAGGUGGAGCAAAUCCUAAAAAGCCGAUCUCAGUUCGGAUUGUAGUCUGCAACUCGACUACAUGAAGUUGGAAUUGCUAGUAA